AUGGCCCACAUAUCAGAUAUUAAACUGAUAAGAACAGAUACUACACUCGAUCUUAGCCAAAAGGCCGAGAAAGGUAUGCUUCAACCCGCCGGCCACCCCUGCUCUUUAUAG
rnacentral:rRNA from 1 species